rnacentral:rRNA from 1 species
GGGGGGACAGCGCAUUGUAGCUUCGGUGGAUUUGCUGGACGUCGAGCGGCGGACGGGUGAGUAACGGCUGGGAACCUGCCCUGACGCGGGGGAUAACCGUUGGAAACGACGGCUAAUACCGCAUAAUGUCUUAGUUCAUUACGAGCUGGGACCAAAGGUGGCCUCUACAUGUAAGCUAUCGCGUUGGGAUGGGCCCAGUUAGGAUUAACUAGUUGGUAAGGUAAUGGCUUACCAAGGCGACGAUCCUUAUCUGGUUUGAGAGGAUGAUCAACCACACUGGGACUGAGACACGGCCCACACUCCUACGGGAGGCAGCAGUGGGGAAUAUUGCACAAUGGGGGAGACCCUGAUGCAUCCAUGCCGCGUGUGUGAAGAAGGCCUUCUGGUUGUAAAGCACUUUCAGCGUUGAGGAAGGUGGUGUACUUAAUAAUUGCAUGGCUUGACGUUAGCUGCAAAAAAAGCACCGGCUAACUCCGUGCCACCAGCCGCGGUAAUACGGAGGGUGCGAGCGUUAAUCAGAAUUACUGGGCGUAAAGCGCAUGCACGCGGUUUGUUAAGUCAGAUGUGAAAGCCCGGGGCUCAACCUCGGAACCGCAUUUGAAACUGGCAGGCUAGAGUCUUGUAGAGGGGGGUAGAAAUUCAGGUGGAGGGGGGAAAUGGGUAGAGAUUUGAAGGAAUAACAGUGGGGAAGGGGGCCCCCUGGACAAAGAAUGACGGUCAGAUGCGAAAGGGUGGGUAGCAAACAGGAUUAGAUACCCUGGUAGUUCAAGCCGUAAAAGCUGUUUAAUUGGAGGUUGAGGUUUUAGACUUUGGCUUUCGGCGCUAACGCAUUAAGUAGACCGCCUGGGGAGUACGGCCGCAAGGUUAAAACUCAAAUGAAUUGACGGGGGCCCGCACAAGCGGUGGAGCAUGUGGUUUAAUUCGAUGCAACGCGAAGAACCUUACCUACUCUUGACAUCCAGAGAAUCCUUUAGAGAUAGAGGAGUGCCUUCGGGAGCGCUGAGACAGGUGCUGCAUGGCUGUCGUCAGCUCGUGUUGUGAAAUGUUGGGUUAAGUCCCGCAACGAGCGCAACCCUUAUCCUUGUUUGCCAGCACGUAAUGGUGGGAACUCCAGGGAGACUGCCGGUGAUAAACCGGAGGAAGGUGGGGACGACGUCAAGUCAUCAUGGCCCUUACGAGUAGGGCUACACACGUGCUACGAUGGCAGAUACAGAGGGCGGCGAAGCUGCGAAAGUGGAGCGGAAUCCCUUAAAGUCUGUCGUAGUUCCGGGAUUGGGAGUUCUGCAGACUUCGGACUUCCCAUGAAGUUCGGAAUCGCUUGGUAAUCGUGUUCAAGAUGCCCACGGGCUCUCCGCAU